rnacentral:lncRNA from 1 species
CACUUGUUAGUAGUGGAAAAUUUUACCCUCAAGCUUAUAAAUCUUGAGAAGAAUUGCAACCACUUACAGAUCAGGAGAUGCUACAGUCCUUCUUUAGGCAGGGUGGGUUGACAAAAUCACCAGGGCCAGCGAGGAAAUUUCGCAAGGGCCAUUCUUCCACUGACCACAUCCCAAGGAAGAGACUCAUUUUGGUCCAGGAACACCCUUCUCUCCCAGCAGGAUCUCAAGAUCACAGAUAGUAUUCCCAGUACGAACAGUGUUCUGUCCUAAGUAUUUAAUCUGUAGAUUUAACCUUUUCUUGACCUUGCUUUGCAGAAUGCAGGUGGCUGGGCCUUACGAGGGAGCCUUUGAGAAGUUAUUUUGGUGAAAAGCUGGCUGCCACCCACUGUGCUUCUCUGCCAGCCGCCGUGCUCCUUCACUCUCACCACACCUCUCUCAUCCUCAAGAUAUUUGAAGAGUUUGUAUUCAAGGUGUGGAACAUCCGUGUGAUCCAGCCUGUAAAAUACCAUCGUGGAAGGAGGGCUCUUGGGUUGCAAAUGGGGAUGCUGUGGCCAAAACUGAAGCUGAAGCAUGGGCACCUCAGCACAUCUCCACCAAGUCUCAAAACACAGGCCAUUAGCACUUUAUGUUGCCAGAGGCCUCAGUGGGAGUGCAGAAUGCAAGUUGCCCCUCCAAUGACUUGCUUACAUGGAGUUUGCCUGAUGGGCACUGAGAGCCAAAUGAGAUGAGUCCCACUUGUCACAUAUAUGACCCACUGGAGCCAGAAUCCUGCUUUCACAUUUUCAAGGAGCUCAAGUGAGCAGUAUUUAUACUAAGAAUUUAUGGAUAUAUAACUUAACAACCGAGACAUUGUUACUCUGCUUAUUCAACUACACUUGGAGCUAACAGAAGACCUUCUCUCCAACGCAUCUUUCUGUUGAGCUUAGAUCUGAAGACAUUGAAAAUAAUUGCAUUAAACUUGAUGAAAAUUUUUGCAAAAUUAAUACCUGAAGCUGAUUCUUCUUGUCAACAGUACCUAAGAAGCUCUGAGAUGUCCACGAUGGACCUACAAGUAAUUUGUCUAAAUGGCAUCUGUGUUACACACUGAAAGAGUAAUAAGGAAACAAAUAAAGACCAAUCAACCGACCUAAUAACCCACAUCUCCUGCUCUGCCAGCAUUGUAGAUCCUGACAGUGUUUGCCUAAAACAACAUUCCCAGCUGCAGUCAGCCACAUGCACACAGAAAUGUUAGCUACUUGCUGCAGAAAGUGUUAUGAAUAUCGUUAAUGGAAAUUGCAUGGUGUUGGUAGCAGGCUAGAACUCAGACAACCUUUAGGAAGUAGCUGAGAGAAGAAAUCAAAGCUGUUGAACAAACAUUAAUAUUUCCUUCAGUUGUGUGAGACUCCUGUGAAGAUUUACAUAAUUAAUCUUCAGCAACAAAACAUUUAUAAUGCAGUUUAAUAAUCUGGGUGAUAGACAGGUCAUGUUAAUUACCAUCUUUCUUCCUGGUUUUAAAAGCCACUGUUCUCGAGCUCUUAGCUCAGAAGUGACUGGCUUGUAUCAGCUUGAAGUCAGAGCGGGUCUGCAGAUGAUUAAUGCCUGAAUGCCUGACACCAGCCAAGGAUCUGCGGGACACGUCCGAGCCCUUGCCCUGCCACAGGCUUUGAGUGCAUCUGGGAGCAAGUGGUCUUGGACACACUUCUACAUUGCUGAUAUCCCAGCAGCUGAUAGCCCAGCAACUGCUAUUUGAGAUCCCAGUUGCAGGUCUCUGUCUGAGAGAUCUGUUGUUGUUAAAUCCUAUUGUGUCGUCAUCUGCUGAAGAGGUGCCAGCUUCUUGUGGGAGGAGGGCAGGUGGAAGCGAACAGCUUGAGUGGCACUUCUGGUCAUCACCAAGAACCUGUUGCCUAACUAUUAUGAAGGCUUUUCUGGCUCUCCUGUACAAGGUCAGAGUAGAGGAAGGGUUUCAAGGACAGCGCUAUGGUGGGUUUUACACCUGUUAGGUGAGGUGCUCCAUGUACUACCAUGGGGGAGAACAUGGUAGAAAAGAAAAAGAGAUUCAAGGGAGCAGCAUUGACUGAGGUAAAUGGGAGACAGAAAUUGCCUUUUCAGUGCUGAAAAGAAGAUGAUUAGCUGUUAGGAGGAAUAUCUUUACUCAGAGGGUGGUGGGGCACUGGAGCAGAGAGGUUUUGGGUACCCCAUCCAUGGAGGCAUUAAGGGCCAGGUUGGAUAGAGCCCUGGGCAGCCUGAUCUGUUGAAUGGCAGCCCUGCCCAUGGCAGGCUGUGGAACUGGAUGGACUUUAAGGUCCCUUCCAAACCAAGCCAUUCUGUGAUUCAUUCUAUGAUAGCACAGGGACAAGAAGCCUUCACACCAAAGAGAAGGAGCAGCUAGUGGAGGUAUAAACUUGAGAGCUGACAGUCUGUGAGAGCAAUCUCCAUAGUGGUGCUAUAGAGGAAUGCUGGCAAGGCAAGGCUCUGGUAGUGGUAAAGGAAAGGAUGCUGUGAUAACCAAGACCCCAGAUAAUGAGUGCCUGGUUGAGAGUUUUAGUUGUGUAACUGGAUAAGCAGGCCUGGAUUCUACUUUAGCUUGAAGAAAAGAUGAAUCUGUAAGGUAUAGGCUAAAUGUGAGAAGUUCACACUCAGACUGAGAACUUGAUGUGGGAAAAUAGUGUUAUCCAACUGCUUGAGAAAGAGCUGUCAGGAAGAACUGGGCUUUGACAGGAAGAGCUGUGCUGCAGUCAGGCACAGCUGGCUGACCUCUAAUGAGCUGCUAACCAAGCAGGUAUUGCAGUUUGGGCAGGAAGAGACCUUUCCUAUGAGAGAGAAUCCAUCAGUAAAGGAAAGAGCCAGCCAGGCAGUGGUGCUGGUAAACUAAAUUUCCAAAAAUUAAAGGGUGGAAGGAAAGAGGAGGGCAAAUCCAUGGAAGCAAAGAGAAGGAGCAGGUCUGGUGGUAAUGCAUGAGGCUGGAGAGCUAGGAGGGCUGGAAUGCGGAUGUGGCUGCCCACAGGGCUGGGAGGAAGCCAGAGAGGCAGGCUGGAGGUCAGGAUGGUUUCCUAAGGUGUGAACUACUGCCUUCGAGGAAAGGGCCACAGGGCAGAAGGUAUGGAAUAAACCAGGAAAAUAGAACUUUAAGCUAAUUUAUCUGAUAAGCUAUUAUAUAUGAGAAUAUUUGUGCUCUUUUACUCUCUUAAUGUGGUAUUCAUCAGUUACUAGGCAUGUGUGAGCCAAAUUGGUGGGUCAAGAAGUCCCUUAAAACAAUCGCUGUCUCGAGAGACUAGAAGAUAAAAGCAGUUUCUAGGAGUGUCUUCUCCUUCCAGGUUUUUCAACUUGGGCUUUUUAGGUAAGAAAGGGUGACUGAGCUUCUGUGAGUCAAAAUGUGUUUGGUCUCCUUACCCUAGUAAUCCUGCAAAAUGCAUACUGUAGGAAUGCUUGUAUGCCUUUGUAUCCUGUGCUAUCUUGGUGCCUGCAUCAGCACAGUCAGAAAAGCAGAAUUUCACCCUACAAGAACUGGUAUCCUGGCAUCAGACUGUGCAUUGUAUAAUGCUUUUGGGAGAAGGUUUUAGUGCACUCAUUUGAUGCUCUGGUGCCUGAAGUGGGUGGAAAAAAAAAAAAGAAAAAAGAAAGAAGAAAUCAAAUAGGGAUCUUGAUAAAUAGAAUUUCAGAUCUUGCAUAAUAUCAGUCAAUGGCAACAGCAGGUGUUUGAUAGUACUGUGAACUUCCUUGGAAUGGGAUCCUGCCAACAUGGCUGUGAUUCAGUGCAAUGAUUCAGUGACUGCAGGACGGUAUCCUGCCAACCAGCCUUCCAGCAGAAAAUUGAUCACCCCACUGCAAACACUGCCAGUCCAUUAGCAUUUCAAAUUUUGUCUAUCUGCAUGGCAGUAGAAACCGUGCAUCUCCUCCAGGUAAUGGAAGGAGGGAGAAAAAUUCCCUUUUCUCCCAGGAAAGGAUGAAAUUAUCAGCUGCAGUGUUAUCUCAAAGAGGAACAUGGAACAUGUUUUCUCUGAGGAGUUUAAAGAAAUAGUUUCCUUUCACUACCCAAGCUCUGCUUUUCCUUCCAUCUCCAACCAGGAACCUUAUGAAGACAAGAGAGUCCCAUCAGCUUUCACUUAUGCCUUACAAACUGUGCAGAGAUACUACCAACAUCCUGAGUUGAGCAAGGAAACUCACAGAGCUGUUGUUUGCAUUCUCCUUUACAGAUAUUUUUUGACUGCUUCCUUGCACAUGGGCAAGCACUGCUGUACUCCCUGCUGUCCGCCCAGUGCCUCCACAGAGCCCUCCGAGCUCUGCAAUAUGGAUGCGUGCAUACAAGGCCCCACUAGAGACAACCCGCACAUGCUGAUACCAGCCCUCACCUUGAAGUGAGUAUGUGAGAUGAAACUUCCUCCAAGUAAACUCUGCACCAGGGAUGCAGUGCUGGGGAAAGCAAACAAGAUUUAGCUCAGCUCUCCUAUUGCUCCAUUUUCCCGUUGUGUAGCAGAAAGAAAACCCAGACUGAAGCUGAGAAGCAAUUCUCAGUGCUGCUGCUGUAAUCUUUGUUACAGCACAAUGUUCUCAUCCUUGCCCAGCUCUUUCAAACCUGCUGUAAUAUGAAUAAUGAUCUACUCCACUUAGGGCGACUUUGUUAAAUACUUUGCCUUUAUCGUCGGAGCUGCGUAGCCGUCCAGGAUCAAAAGGGACUCUUUGAGAGAUGAUUAGAGCAGGAGGGGAGGGUUUAGCGGCCUAAGCACUGCAUUUGCAAUAAUUAGGCUCCCUGGUGUGAUAGGUUCAAAUCCUAGCAGGGUUGACUCAGCCCUUCAUCCCUCUGAGGUAGAUUAAAUGGGUUUUCUGUAGUAGGGUCUAUUGGACAAGACCUUAAAAAAUGCACAGACACAUCAGUUUCUCCUUUGUGCUCCAGAGCUGAAUGUUACAAAUACAUAAAACAGAAAUUCGGAGUGUUUCACGUAAACCCAGCUGUCUGCCCAAGGACUGCUUGCCCACACCUGUGCUCACUGUUGCAGUGAUCACAUCGCUUUCCCACCUGCCAACCUCCUUCCCACAGGGGCUUCUCGGUGGAAGUCAUCUUGUAGUGAGGGCAGUGUUUGGGGUAAAGCAAUGCAGUAUGAACGUAUCCUGUUACUAAACAGAACCAUCAACCUCUAAUUUCUAGAUUACUCUUUCAAAACAAGCACUUUGUACUAUGCAUUGAUAUUCUCUCUCUUGAGAGUGUCUAACCACAACUCCCACAGUGGUCCCAGCCAUGAGUCGAACCAGAGCACAGGUUAAUGUAGCACAACACACUGAAAAAGACUUAAUUCUAGUUUUACAAACACCAUCAUAAAAGCUUUUCUAGGACGACUCCAGUUCUGUAGGAAGUAUUGUUGUCACAUGUCUGUUUGGCCUGCAUAAGAAGCCAAGUUCAUUGUCAGUAGGGAAUUGUUCAAGAGGAGUUUGUCAUCCCAGAGCAAGUUCUUGGGAUUCAUUGAGAAGGUAAAGGAAAGGGUGCUUCAAUCUUGCAUCCCAGGGCUCUCCUUGGCACGGACAAAUCCACACCAAAGAUGGUGACAGUGAAGAGAGGGAUCAUGAACAAAACACGUGGAAAAGCUCUUUACGGAGUCGGAAGUUGAGCACGGGCAGGCAGGCAAGAAGAGAUGUGGAAGGGUAUCCAGGCAAGGGAAGAGUUGGGUUGACACAGAAGACAAGCAUGCAGAAGAGGAAAAGGGCUAGGGAGUAGUACUGACAGGGGUAAAAGACACAGAAAAGGCUAUAGAAAAUAUCACUGGAACUGAAUGAUGGGGGAUGUUCCAUUUACACCUAAUGGUCGUGUUUUGUUUGUAGAGAAGUGCACUUGGGCGACAAGCGGUGGUGGACAGUGGGCUUUUCUGAAUUCCUCUUGCAUUUGUCCACAGCCCAGAGAUGCAGAGACUGUAGACCAUGCUAGUGCUUCAUUUGUCCAUUGUGUACAUAAUGCUUCUUCAUCAAAGAUAGCUGUUGUCCCUACACAACCAAUACUGGGGGAAAAAGGGGAGUGAGAGCGAGUGAUGCAAGUAUGACUGAAUAGCAGUCGAGUACAGCUAGCUAAUUGCAGCUUCAUGUAAUCUCUUUCAUAGCUGUUAUCAUAACUGUAUAUAUUUCCAGCCCAAUUCGUCUAUCUUUUCCGGCCUCCUGUCUUUGCAGCUGCCUCCUCUUCUCUCCUUCCUGAUGGCUGCAAAUCUCUGCUUAUCACCCGUUUUCAUGCUGUGUUUUGUCUGUCUCUUUGUGUUCAUCCCUGUAUCGGCUUCUUGGCUGCAUGUGGCAGUUUCUUAUUUCCUGGACCUUGUGAGAGUCUUCAGUCCGAGCUGUUUGCUUCAGUUAGCAUGUGCAACCUCUCGUAUUAUUUUGCUUUUAUGGGUGAUUUAAUUUUACACAUGUUUACACCGAGGAGUAGUUUUGCAAACUAAAUUUGUCAGUACAGAUGUGCAAUUGCUAUGUGAGGCAGUAAGAAUUAAGACAAUUAUUUAUUUAUCAAAUUUCUUUUUGUAUGAAUGUAUCCAUCCACCACAUGAAUUUUUCAUGCAAGCUCAUCUUGAAAAAACCAUUCCCUCCUCCCGGGAAGGAUUUGAACUCUUUGGGGAAUUCCCCCAAAUUCUUGUUGUUUUUUUUUCUUUAAUUGAACUCCGCCAUGUAAGGAGAGCUCCGUCUACAAUAUUGAUUGCGGAAAAACACGCAGACCUGUCAAUCUCUCUUUUCCCAAGGCAAAACUCUCUUAUUGUCCUUUUCUGCCAGGGUAUAAUCUCCCCAAAGACAGACUUCAAACAGUUAAGCUUCUUUCCAUUGUAUUGGGACUAUGUGUAGUGCUCCACUUUACAUUCACAUUUAACAGGUUUCAAGCUUCAGUGAUAAACCGGCAACGUUUCUCCUUCAUGACAGCUGUUUGACAGCAUUUGAAAAUGGAUAAAAAAUGGAAAAUUACCCUACUGAGGAAACAUCCCCUUCUCUUCGUAACUCAGGCUGGGACAUGGCAGGAAUGAAAUAACGCGCUUAUUACAUUCCGCACACCGAAUGCAAAAUGCAUUGCCACCCUCUAUUCCACUUGAUUUGAUAAUCUAGUACAAUUUAGGUCCCUUACAAAUUAAAUUGUUCGGAAACUUGGUUCGCUGCCUAAACUCUGUGCUAGAUUGUGCUACUUAAUGACGCUUUUCUUUCUUUUGGUGUUUUAUCUUUGGGGUAAAUAAUUCAGCCAAAUAAACCCUGUGAUCUGCAAGGUUAAUUGACACCCAUGUUAAUUCACAGCUUGUGUGCAGCACCCACAUUUGUCCGUUCUGCACAGAGUCCUGGAGCAUCACCUGAUCUCUGUUCUCCAUGGCUCACUGGAAAAGUUCUUACAUUGCCAGAAGCUCUGGUCGUUGAAAAUACCACUAUUGCUGCCGUGUGGGCAAGGUCUGAGCUCCACAUGCUUGUUUGCUUUCCCUCAAGUAGUUACUCAACUGAUUGCUGGGAAAAUCUUAGGAUGAAUGCACCUAGAUCUAUUUCUUUUAUUGGAAAUCUAUUUCUAUUAUUGGAAAAAAGAAGAAUGGAAAAAAUGCUGUAAAAAUAUACAAGCGCAUUAUUUGGGGGUUAUAUUCACAGGUGACACGUCUGGAUGAAUGUAUUCUUAUUUGUUAUUAAAUCGUUGAGGUGGUCUCCCUCCCCACACCUGACGUUUAUUGGAAAAAAGAAAAAGUAAUUGAAAAGGAUUUGGCCAGUUCCCCGCCUUGUGUUCGAGUGUUAUAUAACAGAUACCUCCACCAGCCCGCUCGCUCUGUCUCUCUCUGCUUUUGGGCUAGCACACAGUUUAUUGGCUAUCAAUAAAACAUAAGAAUUACUCCUGGUAUAACAAUAGCACCUCCCUGCAACCUUCAGCCUGCUUAGCUCCCAGGAACAGCGUGCUAAUGAGAGUGUGCUGCCUUUUGGGCAGAUGCUAGGAUGUUGUGCUGGGCUGAUAGCUGCGUCUCCUGGAUCAAACACUGCGCUGGGAUGACUCAUGCAUUUUACUAAUUUAUAAGAACAGUCUUCCUUGAAAUCCCCAUGUAAAUAUUAUCGCCCUGUUCUCUGUGAGUGACUGCAGCCUUGAAGUCAACAGAAGUAAUGGGCACUCCGCAUGGAAUAACGAGUCACAGGCAUAUAUUCCUUUUCAUCCUCCAGGUGGAAUAGCUGAAUUAUGGGUUGUUUUCUCUGUUCUAAAGUUGUAUUUUUCCCAAGUACUGUCGGAAUGCGAGGGCCACGUAGCACAGAGUGAGCUGCAGGAUGUCACCAAAAGGGCCGAAUCUUGCUGCCGUGAAGUGAGGCCCGAGCUGUACCACAGACCUGGCAGCUUGAUGAAUGCAAACUUAAAAUUAGGGCUCACUUAUGGCAAUCAUUACAGUGUCCUUUGCAAGACGGCCACUGAACAGGACAGAUGUCACAUUCACAGCCCCCUGGAAACAAGGCUUUUGAAAGCCAGACGGGCCUCAGUGCCUUUCCUUUUCCACUUUGAUUGAAUAGAUGUUUGCAUCUAAGUGUUUCAGAUUUCCUGAUUAGUACUGGUGUUUCAUGUCCCUGGAUUGGUCUGUGCAAAUAAGGAUGCUCAGGCACUGGCGUGCUUAGAUGCAGAACAUCGGAUACCCCAUUAUAAUUCCUGGAGGUAGUGGGUAAACCCAAGAAUGAAGACAUGGUUCAUGUCAUUCCUCACUGAAAUAGUGUGCUUUAGUUGAGCACAAGACCAGUUUUCUGAACUGCAAAGCCUCUUCCAUGGUCUGUUUCGUUGCCACCUCUUCCUGUGGACUGAUAAGCAGGGCUGUGCCCAGCAUGAUGUCCUCACACAGCCCUGGAGUCCUCCAGGAUGGGAUAGGAAAACUCACUGUCACAUCUCUCUCCACUGGCUCUAAAGGGAGCACAGAUCUUUAGGUAAAAGGGAGAAUAGAUCUUUAGGUAGCUAAAAAUAAAUGAGAAGAUCCCAUACAAAGUAUUACUCUCCCCUAACUGGAACUGAGCCUGUUUUUUGUGAGAAAUGAAAAGUGCUGAGGGGCAGCUGAGAUGUAAGAUCUGGAAGUUUCAUGUCUCAUUACUGUCAUUCAUAUCUCAAACUGUGACAAAUCUGUAUGUGCUGCCAGUAGUAUUCCAAGAUAAACAGAAAUAUUUUCUCCCCCAGGCCUAUUAAGUAAGACAUUCCAUGCAGCUUCUCUUCCCUCGGACACAACCAGGAUCUCUCUGGACUCAGACUAGAUACCAAGGAGGCCACACAGCCUUUGCUCAGUGCUUUCUAUAUGCAACUUAGAGUUCAGCUUCAUUUUAACCCCCCUUUUUUUUUUUUUUAAACCAUAUUCUGAGCUGACACAAGUCUGGCACCAACUCCACGUUGCUCAAGGACUGAAGUAGGUCAGGUAGGACUGACCUAAGGCAAAGGGGAAGAAGAACAAAACUUGGGCCCAAAGCAUCCUUAGGUCUUCUGAUACUCCACCUCUCCUGCAUUUGCUCAUCUUUAGAGACCUGCCCAUGUGCUGGAGGGCAUUAUUCUCGGAACUGACCUGUCCUGAGGAGGUAACUGUCCCAGGAUGGGCUCUGCGGUUUGAGGCAGAAUCCUUCAUAUCCUGACAAUGUCUCUAGGCUGAAUAACCCCCUUCUGUGCAUUGCUGUUCAGCUAUACAGAUGAAGCUGGUUGCAGCUUGUUGACAAAUAAAGUAGUUUCUGGCUACGUAGAGAAAGUACAUGAAAUCUGCAGGAGAAAUAGAAGCAUUUCCCUGAAUAAAAAGUCCAUUCAAUUUAAAGUUAUUGUGAUCAAAACUGCAUUCAGAUAAUUACUGUCAUUUAAAGGUGUUUCUUUUUCAGGGGGUAGUAUGAGUAUGUCUUUUGGAAAUGUUACUAAAGCUUUCACUUUGGGAAAACCUUUCUGCCAUACAUGACUGUGAGCUGCUCUCUUGUAAUUACAGCCCAUCUACUUGCUCUCUCCAAAUAUCUCUAAUAAAGAGACAACAGACAGUGGUGCAUAUUGUUAUUUGCACAUCUGACCCAUGUGUGUGUCAAAGCUGUAAUGACUUCCAAAAAUCAGUGUAUUAUUCCCUUGUAAAAUGCAUUUGCCUGUCAUGAGGACUGUUCAAGAUUUCAAAUCCACCAGAGGUCUUGUAAUUCCUGCUGACACUGAAUGGGAUUCAGAUGUCCAAAUGCAUACUGAAAAACCUGACCUACAGAUGUAAAAAAAUGGUCUGUUUUUUUGGAAGUGCUGUUCACACACAAUCCAUCCUGAAGCUAGUAUGGUCUUGAGAAUGCUCAGCUUCCCCGGAAAUCAGGCUUUGGUACACGCAGACAAGCAAACACCCUUAAUAAUAGUGUAUUUCUUCCCAAAGUGCUUCUGAAAGAGCCUCUUAAAAACAUGAGAAUAGCAAAGGUUUUGGGUUUGUGGUUUUUUUUUUUUUUUUUCAAAAUUCAUAGCAAGUUUUUUAGAACCUGUAACAAGUGUGCAAACCAUCAGUUAAAAACACAACAGAAAUCAGCUGUUAUCUGUGUUCUGGGCAUUCAAACUCCUACUUUCUGUGUAGACAAGCUAGUGGGACUCUAGUGUAGUGUCUCUAUAGCGGUCAGGAGCUGGAGCAUACGAUGUUCAAGGAUAGGCUGGUAGAGCAGGUUUUCUUAUCUUAGAAAAGAGGAAAGAUGAGAGAGGCCUACUACACUGGAGGAAAUGACAACUGAGUUAAAGGAACCAUCUUCUCAAUGAGUAUGUUGAAGCAUUGAAGCAAGCUUUCCAGAGAAGCUCUCAAAUCACAACCCUUGGAAAUACUUCUAAAAUUUUGGUUAAAAAAAAUGUGACUCAGCUACACAAGGCCCUGAGCAGCCUGCUCUAACUUUGCAGUUGCCCCUUCAGGGCUUUGCACCAGAUGACAUUCAGAGGCGCCUUCCAGCCUAAAUUCAACAAAUGGCCUGGUGAAUGGGAACUGUUGAAUCACGGCCUGAACCUCUGAUUGACCACCUGAGAUGAGCGUUGAGUCAGCCGUAGGGGCACAGGUGAACGCAAUUUCACCUGAGUGACCAGCAGGGGUGUAGUCUGGCUCCACCUCUCCCUGACCCCAUUUAAGGGCUGACGCUCAAGGAGGAAGGAUCUCUAUCUGGAGAUCACCUCUCUUGGAGCCCUUCUGUGAGCCCAGGACAUGGUGUGCCUGCAGAACAGCCCUGCUUCCCACACCUUCUUGCAGCCCCAGAGGGAACCCCCAUGGACUGGGCUGUGCAGCUGCCCGCAGCGCUGGAAUAUCGUCUGAUGUUUGCCUGACUCAGGUCACUGCACAAAGACAUGCCAGCCUGCCAGGCUCAUUUGUUAUUUUGGAAAUGACCCGCCACGGUUCCUGCACUGCUAAUUGGCCAUGAUCCAUUUCCUGUUUUAUGAAUUCAUCUCCUGGUCCUGCUGCCUGGUCCAAGGGGUGCCAAGUACAUCAAAACUGCAUCUCUGGAGUGAAAGGAAGGAAGAAAAUAAGACUGAAGGCAAUAGAGUUACACUGAAGAUGGCUUUGGCCCAAGGGUUUAUGCAAAACAGAUUUGUGAUGUUGCAAAUUUGUAUUUUUCCUUUCUGUUUCAAAAUGGGAAAGAGCAGAAACAGUUGAUACUGUCAUGAAAUUUCAAGACUGAAACACAAAGUAUUGGAAACUUGAGUGUCCUUAAUAGUGCUAAUCCAAGCCUGCUGGACCUGUGGACCAUUUUUGCAAUCAAAUGCUUAAGAAAUGCAGUGCAGUGAACUGAAUACUAUAAUUCUAACAGGAAAUUUCUCACUAAAAUCAGUGAGAAUUUUGUCUAUGUGAGGCUUACAAGAUUGGUUAGUACUUGAAGAACAACUUUUCUUCUUCCAUAAAGAUCCUCGCUGAUGGGUUCCUAUACUUCACCAGCUUCUCUUCUUUUCCUCUGUCAGAUUACAACAGAGGAUGGCAUGCUCUGAGUGCAGCUCCAAUACGUGGCACGUGGCUGUAUCUUUUGUUCUUAAAUUACAUGACUCUUGAGACAAGAAAACCUGCCAGAAAUCAGCCUUUGGAUGAGGAAGGCCAGGUCCCAGCUGAACCAAGCAGCACAAGUAGGAACUAUACCAAAGAAGUGGGCUCACCCAGAGCAUUCAUUGAAGUGGUGCAGAGCAUUGGGCACAUGCUGGAUCUUCCACAAAGCUUGGAGAGCUGGGCAGCCUCCAUUCCUAUCAACAUCUUCCUCACCUUUCCUCCUGUGAAGAGACAAGGAACCACCAACACAACUGCAGAACCCCAUGGACUCCCGUAUCUGCACAAGGAGGAGACUGUGUGACCCUGAUCUUGGCCAGCAUAGCACAAGGCUCCCCAGCAGUCACCUGCUUGAACCUAACACAUCACGGUCAGCUUCUAGUGAUAAUACAGCAUUCCUUAAUUUUGAAAGCAAUUAUGGGUCUGAGUUCAGGUUUUUUUUUCCCCAGAUUAAAGUCAAUAAAACACUCGGACAUCCGGAUUCCAAUCACAUGCAUAUUACUAACUGUGAUAUUUGUAUCGCUGAUCCAGAAGCCAAUCACAACACUAACUCACUCUAUUGCUAAAAUAAGGAUAGCUUCCUCAUAAGCCAAAAUAACAGCCUGUUAUCCCUUCCAAAGCCACCGUUUUUCUGGCCUCGCAGGAACAAAGGAACAGGAGGUAGGCAAUACUCUUAUGGGGAAAGUAAACUAUCCCUCGCACAAGAAGCUUUUAAACCUAAGCACAUGUACUUGACAUACUCAUUUUCUGAAACUCUAUAUUUUCAUGUAUCCCUCCUCUUAUGACAUACCUCUUACAGUAUGUUGGAAUCAGUCCUGUCUUAUCAUCAUUGCCAUGGUUACCUUAUCAUCAUUACAGUAUAUAUGUGUUGCUAUAAUACUACUGUGGAUGUCAUAUCAAAAUUCCCUAAAGCAAAAUGAUCCCAGAACUUACUCUGUACACAUCUCAGGUUGCUAAGCAUUGAUAGCUUUAUUAUAUGUUUCCCAGCUAAAACAAAGUUAGCUUGUAUGCCUCUGCUGACAUACAGCUCUUUGUCCUUUCUGGUAGAAGGCAAAUUAUUCCAUGUAUCAUCUUCACUGUAAGCUACUUCCUUACAUCAAAUAAAAAUUCCACUCUUGACUGGAUAUCUCAGCAACCUGAUUUUCCUUUACUUAUAUUACUGUAUUACUAAAAUUCACAAGAAUGUUGAUACUGGAGGCAAGGAGCAUGUUAGUCAGUCAAGUUAAGCACUGUGAUAUUGCAGAUACAGAGGUCAUGAUACGAAGAUGUGGCACAGCUCAAAACCCAGGGCAGAGUAUAUACGGGCUUGGGAUAAAGAAAACCCUUUGCUAGGGUUGUGUGGCUGUGGGAUGAUCUUUCAGUGUAGAGUGGAGGAGCACAGAUGUUAACAUCUGGUUUUAAUCCAAAAUCUGUAUUACCCUCCAAUGUGCGCUGGGGACUAUGAAUGCAAAACUCUUAACAUAAGCAGAAUUCCUUAUGUGUAAUAAGGAUUUUGGUAAUGCGUUUGGCUCUAUGUGGAGGAUGCACAAGCCUUGUAUGUCACAGACUAGAUCUUGCCACAUGCUUCCACUCCUCUCUGGAUAGACUCACUCAUAGGAUGGAUUGCCCCUGCUUUUUUCAUGGCACUUUCCCACUGACGAGGUGUCUGGGGAAGCUGGGUACAGAUAUAACUUAAAUAUCUUUUACCUUCGGUGACUGAAUGCUCAUUCUUCUGAAAGACAAAAGCAAAGCCUUGACUGGAGAAGAGAAUGUGUACACACGUAAUUGUGCAUCUGUCUAUGUAACCAUGUUUUAUGUAUGGAAUCGCAAGAAAACAUGUCUAACUCAAAUGAUGAUUGAACUGAUACUCAACUAAGUUCUAACUACCAGAUUUUCCAUCGUGUUCAUCCUUAUAACAGCUCCUUACUACAUUCUCAAGCAGAGGCUUUGAAUAUGAGGCUAAGAGUACAGUGGAGUGAAGAAAGUGAUUCAUUACUGGGAAUAAAAAACCCAGUCUUCAUGGAUGAUACAUUGCCUAUAUACAUGAUUACAGGUUUAGAAACAAGAGGUUACCUACUGUUCCACGGCUGUAAUCAAAUAUUACCAGACUGAAGAAAAGCAAAUACACUCAAGAUUUUCAGGAGAAUUCUCAUGAUUAAGAAGAGUAAAAUCUUAAAUAAACAGAGGUAAAUAACAGAACAUUUGUGAUAGAGGAUAUGAUGGUAAUUGCAGCUGGGAAACUUUUCUUCUUUUCUUCUUAAGCUAAAGAUGACUGGGAAUUUUUUUUGGUAACUACAGGAGCAGUUAACUGGCCAUUUUUUAUGAGGAAAUGGAAACAAGGAUUCAAGGCCAUCGUGAAGACUAUGUAAGGUAAAACCUCUCCUCGUGUUCAAAUCAUAUGAUACUACCCAGAACUGAGAGGUAUCCUGUCAUCCCACUAUGCCUGCAUUCAUGGGGCGUGGAAAAAAGAGAUGAUUAUGUGGCAAAAUUGUCGUAGCACUAUAUGGGCUCUCUGGGGCAAGCUGGGGCAGCAGUGGGGGUGAGUGUGACAGGGCAGAUUUCCCCAUCAGCAGCAACUCUCCAUUCAUAAAAGCCCGAGUUUCUCAGGUGACACCUAUUUUCCUUUCUUUAGCCGUAGCAGACAGAUGUGCAGAUUGUGUGCUUAUGCCAAACAGUAUUCAAGGGUCCAUGCUGUCUGGAAAACUGCAUUCACACUGAAGCCAUAUUGUUCCCUCCCUGAAUUACAAGCUGGAUUCCCCAGCUGGUGAGCUGCUUUGCUGCAGGCUUGCGUAGGCCUGUGAGCCAACUUGGAUAAUAGCAGAGCUAUAACCAGGACUGUGAUCUCAGACCCUGACCCAGCGUGAAUUCUAAGCAUCGUUCCUCUUUCCUUAGUGUUAUACACUCAAUCUGCUGCUGCUUGGCAGGCUCUUAAAUCACAGUUCUCACACCCGAAUAGGCCAACUUCUGGCAGCCACUGCUGCACAAAUGGUAGCAUUGGAGAAGAAAAUCCUUACUACCUGAGUGUUUGAAGGCCUGAUGUGGAAAUAUCUGGAAGAACUGAACUUCUCCAUGAGCACUACUGAUUUCAUUAUUAUUUUUUAAUUCAUAUUUGUUGAAAACUAAUUCAGCCAGGGCAUUGGUGGCCUUUUUUGGUUGGUUGGUUGGUUGGUUUGGUUUGGUUUUUUGUUGUUUUGUUUUGUUUUAUUUGUUUUUUGCCACAAGCGUGCAUUGCUGGCUCCUUGUCAGUGUGGUGUGCACCAGAACCCUCAUGUCCUUCUAAGCAGAAUUACCUUCCAGUUAGUUGGAGCACAGCAUGUAGUGGCUCCCGGGGAUGUCCCUGCCCCAGGCCAGGACUUUGGUUUUCCCCUUGUUCCAGACGUUCUUCUCACCCCAUUUCUACACCCUGGGGAGGUUCUUCUGGAUGGCAGUACAGCCCUCUUCUCUAUGAGUACUGAGCACAUCAUUCAGCUGGUUUUCAAUCCACUUCUUCAACUUGAUGUAGUUUGUAAUUCCUGUUGGUAGCCACGUGACAGAGUCUGUGCUGCUCGCUGUUGUUGUGCAAGUCUCCACCCUUUUCCAACCAGGUCCAGACAGAGUGAGUUAGAUUGGUGAGUAACAUGCAGUCUGUCCUGGCUUCCUGGAAAAUAAGGUUUGUAACCUGAAUUAAAGAGCUCUGGUGAAUCGCACAACAUAGUAACUGAGUUAAAUGCAAAUUACAUCAACAUUUACGAAGUUUCAAAAAUGCAAGUGCUCUUAUAAAUGAACAGGAAUAGAAGUAAACUCAUUUUCCAGGUGUGCUAUUGGGCUUCAUCUGCAUCCUACUGUUUUGUACUAUCUGUGUAACAGGAUACAUAGGUUUACCCAGCUCUCAGUGGCACAAAGACAGGAAAGAGAGGCAGGUUCCCCAGUGGGAUUGGAGCCAGAUCCAGCCAUGAAAGUCCCUGCAGGAUGGGCUGUCAAAUAGAUGUAGAGAUCUUACACAACCAACCCAUUCCCAAUACAGAGAAAAUGGUUUCCGCAUUAUUCCUGAAAGUUACUUAAGAGGGCUCAGUUUUUUACUCUGUAACGUGCUCUGGAAUACCUUGGUGUGAUAUAUUUGAGCUCAUUUGUUAAAAUAAAGUACUUCAAAUACCGUAAAAUACUAAAUGCUUAGGCUGAGUCUCAUCUCUGUUCUUCCAUUCUAUAGUAUCAGGAACAUGGCUGCAGGAAAUCAGAAUGGCAAUGUGCAGCGCCAGCAUCAACAAGAAGCAGGUCAGCACAGUUUCACAAACAAUUGGGUGUAUUGGUGCUUUUGCCUUGGAAUUUGCUUUUUAAUCACCUUCAGCUUCAUAAAAUUAUAUAGAUACUUUGUUAUAUCUUCUUUUCCUCCUUCUAGAAGUAUAGAAACAUGUAGAAAGGAAGGGACUGAAAUGUGCCUGAAAAUUAUGCACAAAAUCUAGAAUUAUGAUUUUCCUUUGGGGGGGGGGGGAAGGUUCCUAUCCCUAUUCAAAAAUAUGAGGAGGAAGUCACUGUGGAUAGUCAAUAGUUUUUGGAUUGGCUAAAGCUGAUGAGCGACCACCUGAGUGUGCCCUCAGCACUGAGUCCUGCAGCCUGAUGCACAUCUCACACGUGGCUGCAGUCCAUUGAGAUGGAUGGCCAUGCUUCUGGUCACUGCAUGGCAUGCUGGGGCUGUGCUCUGUACAGAUCCUACCUGCUUAUUAAAAAUGAAGGUAGCUGUAUUUUGUUCUGCUUUAAACAAAUCAGUGACCCUGAAUUUUCUAGCAAAUCCCCAGACGUGGUCUUCUGUGGAAAAAAAAAAUGGGUCUUUCUUGUGUUCAUUAAAAAUGAAAAAAAACUUAGCAGCUGGGAUAAUAGCAUUUGUCAGUUCCAUUUACAGGUUACUUAGCUCAGCUGAAUUAAUGUCUGCCAAAUGGGCAAAUCUGAAAUACUGCUUUUCCCUCAUCCCCUUUAAAAAACCCGUGUCAUAAGGCAUACUUAAAAAGCACAGGUAGAAGAUCAUCUCAGCUCUCCACUUUGACCCCUUGCAUUUACAGAAUUCCUUAUUAUAUCAUCCCCACCAUUAUCUUACCUAACAUAGUCAUAAUGAUCCAGAGAUUUUGAGUCAGACAAACAGUGGCCUGUCUUUGCUACUGCCUAAGUAUCC